GGUUGCGAUCAUACCAGCACUAAUGCACCGGAUCCCAUCAGAACUCCGCAGUUAAGCGUGCUUGGGCGAGAGUAGUACUAGGAUGGGUGUCCCCUGGGAAGUCCUCGUGUUGCAACCC
rnacentral:rRNA from 1 species